ensembl:lncRNA
AAUUCAUCCAGCUUCAGGAAGAUCAUUCAAAAUCAUAAGAACCUGAAUUCAGAAGAGCACUCUAGAGCACACUCUUCCUUUUAGUAGGAGAAUCCUUUCCCUUUGGAGCCCACCUUCCCCUCUAGUAGAAGUACACCUUCCCAGUGGAGCAUCCUCUUUUUGCUGAAUGGACCCAUGUCUUUGUGCUCUUUAGUACAGCCCAGUCCUUACAUGAAUUAUACUCUGCUAGUGAGUAUACCUGAGUUGUAUGUUGGGUCCUUUUUUCCCUUCCCCCUUUUCCCAAUUGCUUACAGUAAGCUUUGCAUUGAAUUGACUCCUGUUGUUUUGCUUUUUAUUCUCAGCACCCAAACUCAUUAAGGUGUUGUUUUACCCAAAGUCUCUGACUGGCCCACUGGCCUUUUCUUUGACAUAAACUGGAUACUCAGACUAAGACUUAACCUAGUGACAGCCAAACUGAAAGUGGAAGAGGAUGACACUCUGAAGCCAGCUGCAGAAAGCAAGAGUCAAUUGGGAAACCCUACAUCCUCUCAGGAGGGAUUACCUAAUGGAAGAGGACUGAGAAAGACAGAAACGAAGCCACUGAUUGUAGAUGAUUUUUUUCAAAAUGAGCUAAGUUUCGGAGUCUUGCAUUCUUGUGAAAAGUAUCCUUCCCUAACCCCAGGGGUACACCUCUAUACCCUAUAACAUCUGGCGCCCAAUGUUUUUGGCUACCCUGGAUCAUCCAUGAGGACACAGCUUCUCAGGUGAGAGAUUUCAUCGCAAGUUGCUGAAAGGUGAUUCUCUUAUAAUGAGCAGUGUCCUCCUUAAGACAGCCACAGAAAAAUGGAACACCCUUGCCACUACCAUGGGCAAAGUCAAAACUCAAAGUGAAUGAGCAGCCAUUAUAGAACUGGUUCUGAUGAUGGAACUCCUCUUCUCCUCAAUUGAUGUUUGCUGUUCCUGUAAGUUAGAGCCACAGAAAACCAUUGGUCUGCUGGAGCGGAUCACUUCUCAUGGGGCUAGACAUGUGCUCUGGCUCCUUGCUGAGGGAGGUAUCUCAGUCCAUCGAAAUAGGAGUUCCACUGACCACCCUUGUUACACAGGGAGAUAACUCUUUGGACUAGAAAGAAGAAAGAUGUUGAAAGUUGUUGAUGUUGAAGAGAUAAAGUAAAGGUGAUAUAAAAAUACAAGAUACCAAUGGAAAAAACAAAACAAAACAAAAAACAAAGAUUACACAGACUCUUGGUCUCAAUAAACAUCAGUGAGCCCAAAGCA